rnacentral:rRNA from 1 species
AGGAAUCUGCCUAUUAGUGGGGGACAACGUUUCGAAAGGAACGCUAAUACCGCAUACGUCCUACGGGAGAAAGCAGGGGACCUUCGGGCCUUGCGCUAAUAGAUGAGCCUAGGUCGGAUUAGCUUGUUGGUGAGGUAAUGGCUCACCAAGGCGACGAUCCGUAACUGGUCUGAGAGGGUGAUCAGUCACACUGGAACUGAGACACGGUCCAGACUCCUACGGGAGGCAGCAGUGGGGAAUAUUGGACAAUGGGCGAAAGCCUGAUCCAGCCAUGCCGCGUGUGUGAAGAAGGUCUUCGGAUUGUAAAGCACUUUAAGUUGGGAGGAAGGGUUGUAGAUUAAUACUCUGCAAUUUUGACGUUACCGACAGAAUAAGCACCGGCUAACUCUGUGCCAGCAGCCGCGGUAAUACAGAGGGUGCAAGCGUUAAUCGGAAUUACUGGGCGUAAAGCGCGCGUAGGUGGUUUGUUAAGUUGGAUGUGAAAGCCCCGGGCUCAACCUGGGAACUGCAUCCAAAACUGGCAAGCUAGAGUACGGUAGAGGGUGGUGGAAUUUCCUGU